rnacentral:rRNA from 1 species
AGUACACGUAAGCAACCUACCCUAAAGACGAGGAUAACCAUUGGAAACAGUGGCUAAGACUGGAUAGGAAGAUAAAAGGCAUCUUUUAUCUUUUAAAAGACCUAGUAAUAGGUAUGCUUUAGGAGGGGCUUGCGCCAUAUUAGUUAGUUGGUAGGGUAAUGGCCUACCAAGACGAUGAUGUGUAGCUGGACUGAGAGGUUGAACAGCCACAUUGGGACUGAGACACGGCCCAAACUCCUACGGGAGGCAGCAGUAGGGGAUUUUCGGCAAUGGAGGAAACUYUGACCGAGCAACGCCGCGUGAAUGACGAAGUACUUCGGUAUGUAAAGUUCUUUUAUCAAGGAAGAAAAGCAAAUGGCGAACCAUUUGUUUGCCGGUACUUGAUGAAUAAGCCCCGGCUAAUUAUGUGCCAGCAGCCGCGGUAAGACAUAAGGGGCAAGUGUUAUCCGGAAUUAUUGGGCGUAAAGGGUGCGUAGGCGGUCUAGUAAGUCAGUGGUGUAAUGGCAACGCUUAACGUUGUCCGGCUAUUGAAACUGCUAAACUUGAGUUAGAUAGAGGCGAGUGGAAUUCCAUGUGUAGCGGUAAAAUGCGUAAAUAUAUGGAGGAACACCAGAGGCGUAGGCGGCUCGCUGGGUCUUAACUGACGCUGAGGCACGAAAGCGUGGGGAGCAAACAGGAUUAGAUACCCUGGUAGUCCACGCCGUAAACGAUGAGUACUAAGUGUCGGGUUAAACCGGUACUGAAGUUAACACAUUAAGUACUCCGCCUGAGUAGUACGUACGCAAGUAUGAAACUUAAAGGAAUUGACGGGACUCCGCACAAGCGGUGGAUCAUGUUGUUUAAUUCGAAGAUACCCGAAAAACCUUACCAGGUCUUGACAUGUUUUUGCAAAAUGAUAGUAAUAUCGUGGAGGUUACCAGAAACACAGGUGGUGCAUGGUUGUCGUCAGCUCGUGUCGUGAGAUGUUAGGUUAAGUCCUAAAACGAGCGAAACCCUUAUCGUUAGUUGCCAGCACGUUAUGGUGGGGACUUUAACGAGACUGCCAAUGAUAAAUUGGAGGAAGGUGAGGAUCACGUCAAAUCAGCAUGCCCCUUAUGACCUGGGCUACAAACGUGAUACAAUGGCUGUUACAAAGGGUAGCUGAAACGCAAGUUCUUGGCCAAUCCCCAAAAACAGUCCCAGUCCGGAUUGAAGUCUGCAACUCGACUUCAUGAAGUUGGAAUCGCUAGUAAUCGCGAAUCAGCAUGUCGCGGUGAAUACGUUCUCGGGGUUUGUACACACCGCCCGUCAAACCACGAAAGUUGGCAAUACCCC